GUUUGGGAGGAGGAGGAGGAGGAGGAGGAGAUGAAAAUGGAGGAGAGGAGGAGAAGGAGGAGAGAAGCGGCAGCCAUGGCGGCGGCAGCCGGCGGCGGACGACCAACAUGUGAAGGUGGACAGCGGACGGCGUACUGCGACAAACAGACAACGACGGGUGGCGGUGGCAGCGACUAGAGGUGACAACUUGGAACGAGAGUUAAGGUGGCAAGAAGUGACAGUGACAAGCAAAGAAGGCGGGCGGAAAUGGCGGCGGGCAUGCGACAACGGCGAACGGUGGCGGUGGCGGUGGCGGUGGCAGUGGCUAGCACCAAAAACUUUCUUAUUUAGAUUGCAAGUGUUGAAUACAAACAAUUUAGAACAGGAAAAAAUAUUGGAAAAGCGAUCCAAUGCGGCGUGAUCAUGCCAUAUGAUCAAGGGCAGUGGCGCAACCACAUUAAAAUUCGAUAAGACCAUGUCAGAUUCAUAGACAUGAGGUGUGAUCAUGUCGGGAUCAAGCGUUACCAUGCCACUAGAUUUAGAAGCUCGACGUCACCACACCAGCUUUCGACGUGACCACGUCGACGAGCAGAAAAUCACCUCUAGAAGGAAAUUUACUUGCAAAUUCAUGUAUUCUAUUAUAAGAAUGAUUAUUAGGGCUUCUUUUAAGGAAAGAGAGUUCUAGGACUGCGAGAGAUGGAGAAUAUGAGAGAUUUUGAGUAUUCCAUUGAUGUUAUCUUCCUCCCUUUAGUUGUAACCCUAAAUGGCUGAGUAUCUACAUUUUAUUCUUUCGAGUUUUGAGAAAGUUUUUGUAUGAGAGAGAGAGAGAGAUGUUGCUCUUGUGGAGAUGAUGAGUCUUUAUUGUAAGUUUUGCUUUCUGUGUGGAUUUCUUGGCUGUUGUUUUCUUACAAUGCCCGUUUAAACACUUUUUUGUGUUUCUAUGAUGUAGAUGUAAUGGUUUUUUAUCGUGAUUUUCUGACAUGUUCUUUCUCUAGUGUUUUCGUGUUUUCAUUGAA